rnacentral:rRNA from 1 species
AGGAAGUAAAAGUCGUAACAAGGUUUCCGUAGGUGAACCUGCGGAAGGAUCAUUACUGCGUGGCACUCGACCAAAAGUCCCGUCAGUCCACUCGCACGCCAGGGGCAAAGUGGCGAAGUGACAAAGUGACCCCGGAUCGGGUACCGGCCUGCCAUCGGUUUUCAAAGUCUCGCGCCCGAUCCGGACGGAUGAGAAAAACACCCUGUCGGUCUCAUCACCGCGGGGAAAUGGCUUUUUUUUUUAUCAAUUCGGCUCUAACGAAAAGUAUGGAAAAAAAAAAUGAAUGCAAAUCCUAAACGGUGGAUCACUCGGCUCGUGGAUCGAUGAAGGACGCAGCAAACUGCGCGUCGAAUUGUGAACUGCAGGACACAUGAACAUCGACGCUUCGAACGCACAUUGCAGCCCACGGAUUCUGUUCCCGGGCUACGCCUGGCUGAGGGCCGGCUACCGAGUUCACCGGCGCGCCGUCGCCGGCGAUUUGGGUCGGGGGUGCUCCGUCCACCGGAGGGCCCCGGGCCCGUCUCGAACCGAGGGCGCACGCGGUCGGACUCCUCGUCCACCGCCGCCGCAGAGACGCUUCGCUUUCCACGGAAACGGCGUCCGCGGGCGGCGGGGUCACGGCGGUCCGACCGGGCGUCGUGCGCCCGCAGAGAACGAAACGAAAAAAAAACACACGCCGACCUCAGAGCAGGUGAGACCACCCGCUGAAUUUAAGCAUAUUAAUAAGCGGAGGAAAAGAAACUAACCAG